CUCCUUGAGGGAGAGCAUCUCAUGUUGGGCACAGCAGGAGAAGGUGUUGCUGCUCUUCCCAGGACUGGUUUGGUCUCAGCAGUGGGUACAGUCCUUGGCUGCUGUCUGUCUGCCCCUAGCUAUGGCUGCAGUGACCCAUCAGUACGAGUGUUUCUCUGCUGGAAGCCAUUCGUUCUCAGCAAGGAGAUAUGGGGAGCAGUCAGGAAAGCUCAGCAGUGCCAAACGGGAUCUGAGUCCCUGCAAACAGUGACUGGAGGAGUGCAACACCUCUACCAGCCCAAAGCAGAGCCAUGGACACAUUCCUUUUCACAUUGUUGUCUUUACAUGGCUAUGGGUGCUUAAUUGCAUCAUAUUCCAGCUCUUGCAAAAUACCAUUUGAACAAAUGUCCUUGUUGUGAUCUGGCAAUUUAAAUUAUCCUGUCUGCAGAAGUUUGGUUCUGGGCGUUUUAGCAUUAACUCGUGCUGUCUGGAUGAGGUGUGACUGAGGUAGUCCAAGAGCUGAUUAAAGAGUUGUUAGUUGUUCUUUAAAAAAAAAUUCCACCACCAUUAAUGUUGUUGGUGUCUGCAAUAUCAGGAGUGUGCAUCAACAGCAGCUCAUACCUGGGGAGUGCUGCUGCUUUGCAUUCCUGUCUGGCAGAAGACCUCUCCUUUCC
ensembl:lncRNA